rnacentral:lncRNA from 1 species
GUGCCACUGUCACAAAUAAUCCCCAGAUAUCAUUGGCUUGACAUCACAAAAAUGGAUUUCUCAAUUACAUAAAGUCCAUUGUGGGCCACAUGAUUCUCCAAGGAGACUGUUGCCAUGGUGACUCAGAGUUGAGGCCAAUGGCGGCUCCACCAUCCUGUGGCUAUGAUUCCUGAACUUGUGGUCUCCUCAGUUGAUGAGGUGAAGAAAGAAAGCCUGGAGAAUUAUGCACGAGCUUCUCACUGUCUCAGCCCACAAGUAACACACCUCUUUCCCUCACAGCCCACACUGGCUGGAACCAAUCACAUAGCCCUGCCUAACUGCAAGGGAGGCCAGAAAGUGCAACACUUUCUCAUGGUCACGGGCGCUGGAUCCAGGGCAAAAAUGAAGACAUAAGGGACCUUAGGUGACAAGGAAGAAGCUCCCAGGCAGCAUGUGGGAUGGACCCAAGGAGAACGUCAGAGAGAAAGAGUUCAGUCUGGUGUCUCCUGAAGCAGGUUAAAAUUAAGCUCGGCAGGCUCGACGUAAAUGUGCAGACAAAGCAAAGCAGGAAGCCUCCCACACUAAAAAGGGAAGAUAAGAAUCACAGAAGCUGGGAUGGUUUUUAUUGAAGGGCAUUUCAAAGCAAAUACAGACAUCUACAGCAUAUUUGUAAAUCCUCCGUAUGUGUAUGGAAACACACACCUUCACACAUCAAAACUGGAUUUGUUCCUGAGUAACAAAACGUCCUAAGAACAAAAUGAAAGAAAACCAAAUAGCAGAAAAAUACUUCCAAUGUAUAUACCACAAAGGAUUAUUUAUCAACUCAACACACCAAGAGUUAAGAAAAUAAUGCAACAGGAACAAAGGGCAAAGGAUAUGUACUGGGAAGACCACAGAGAAAGAAAAUGCAAAUGGCUAAUAAUAUAAAAUAUUUCCUAGGUUCAAUAGUAAUCAGGGAAAGACAAAAUUACACUUUUGACCUCUUAGACUGGCAGUGACAAAGAUUAUUUGAGUGACCAAGCUUUAGUCAGGCUCCUGGAUCUUCUAGGCCCAUCUGGGCACUUCCUCGUAAAAUACAGUUUUAACAAAAGCCCUGCUAAAUUGGUUUACCGAGAACUCCCACCCUCAAUCGAGUUCCUUAGCCCUUCACCUUUCCUCAGGUGAGGGCUGAUCAUCCUGUCCUGUCUUCAGCAAGACUGCUCUAACGCUGACGUUUCCUUUUAGUAAUUUUCCAUCCACUGACACCCACUUGUAAUUUAUAGCCAAGGAGCAAGAUACACUGCUCCUUGGCUAUAAGUUAUUUUCCCUGUUACAUUCAGAGUUGAGCCCAAUCCCACUCCCCGACUACAAAAUCGAUAGCAGUGGUCCCUAUACCUAUUGCAAUGGUCCUAAAUAAAACCUGCCUUACCGUGCUUGAACAAGUGUCAUCGAAUAAUUUUUUAACAGCAAAUUGUUGGAGGUAAAGACAUUUUUAAAUGUCUUCAAUUAGUUUAGCUACUUC